rnacentral:rRNA from 1 species
UACGAAGGGGGCUAGCGUUGCUCGGAAUUACUGGGCGUAAAGCGCACGUAGGCGGAUUGUUAAGUCGGGGGUGAAAUCCUGGAGCUCAACUCCAGAACUGCCUUCGAUACUGGCGAUCUCGAGUUCGGGAGAGGCGAGUGGAACUGCGAGUGUAGAGGUGAAAUUCGUAGAUAUUCGCAAGAACACCAGUGGCGAAGGCGGCUCACUGGCCCGAUACUGACGCUGAGGUGCGAAAGCGUGGGGAGCAAACAGG